rnacentral:tRNA from 1 species
AGGGGUAUGGUGAAGUGGUAUCACGGAGGUCUCCAAAACCUUCGUCGGGGGUUCGAUUCCCUCUACCCCUG